AGACAGACGAGAAGCGGCGAUACGAGGACAACCAGGCCGCCGCCGACAGCGAGUUCAAGCAGGAGGAGCGAGACGUGACCGUCCCCCCCCAAGGAGAAGGAAGACGACGUCAAGGAGAAGAUGAUGGAGGAGCCGCGGGUCGAAGACAGAGGGAGGGACAACGACGAGGAGCAAGCCAGGGAGCUUGAGGAGCUGCUGGCUGAGGAGAUCACCAAGAAAGGGAAGGAGGAGAGGAACGACGAAGAGCUCAAAGAGCUGCUGAAGGAGCUGAAGAAGAAGCGCUACGAGGCUGUGAAGGAGAGGGGGACCCAGAGAGGCCCUGCACCGGAGGAGGAGAAGAAGGAAAAGGAGGACAAAGUCAAGGAGGGAGAUCCGGCAGAGGAGGCGCAGAAGCAGAGGAUGGAGGAGAGGAGGAAGAACGAGGUGGAGCUGAUGGUGGAGCGGGAGAAGGUGGAGAAGGAGCUGAAGGAGCUGCUCAAAGGGCAGGAGAGCGAGAGCGAGCUGGAGCACGACAGGGAGCGGAAGGAGAAGCAGGAGGAGCUGGACGAACUCGUCAGGAAGAUGAAACGGGCGAAGGAGGAGGAGCAGGAGAUGCAGGGCGGGAAGAAAGAGGACGGCGAGGGUCAGCGGACGGCGGAGGAGACGAAGGAGGGCGAAGACGAUAAGGGGCCCGGCGAGAAAACCGAGAACGAAGUCAAGAAGAAGAAGGAGGAGGAGGCGGCGGCCGAGGUGAAGGAGCCGCAGCAGAAGAGAGUGAUGGAGAAAGCCAGCGACGAAGCCACGCAGCAGUUUGAGCGCGAGAGGUACGAGGGCGCGGAUGAGGAGGACGAGGAAGACGAGGAAGACGAGGAUGAAUACGUCAGGGAGGAUGGGGACGGGCAGGCGGAGGGGGAUGAUGACGAGGGUGAGGCCGAAGAAGAUGAAGGGGAGGAGCUGCUGGAGAUCGAAGCGGAGUUGCGCAAAGUCGCUGCGGAGCUGAGGGAGCUUCGCAGAGGAUGAGACACACACACAC
ensembl:lncRNA